rnacentral:sRNA from 1 species
UCGAGGUGACAUUUUUAGUAUUUAGAGCACACAACAAGUCGAAUAUUAGGACAUUGAAAUGUGUUUAGUUGAUUUGUGGUUAACUCUAUCUCAUAUGUUUACUCAAAAAAAAAAAUUUAGCCACGACCAUUUUAAUUCUGGCAUGAGAGGGUUAAUCACCUUGUUAUUUAUAUGUAUGUUAUAUAUUAAGAAUUAUCCGAUAACCGAUAGUCAUGAUCAAUAUUUAUUCUAACCUAUUCAUUGUAACUUGAACUUCACUUAAUAAAGUCAUCUUAAGAAUACAUCAAAGAACACAGCCUGAAAUUAAAGGAAAUAUUAAUUUAAAUCUCUUAAAAUUGGAAUACAAGUAUACCCAGACAUUGGCCGACUAGAAGAACAACACUAUUUAAUUUUUCCACACUUAUACUGGAUAAAAUAAGUCCUCUCUGUUUGCAAUGGGCUCACUUGACAAAUUUGUGUGUCGCAAAUCCUGCAAAAGUUUGUAUCGCGUGGAUCCUGGGCGAACUAAAUUUACUAUUCAAUGAAAACAAAUAAGAACAUAAAGGCUUAUGUCUACGUUACCCUUAAUCAUAUCGUAGACGCUUGUGGUAUCUUUGGAAUGAAGUGACUGGUCCGAACGGUUCUC